ensembl:lncRNA
UUGUUUAUGGCCUAAAUUAAAAGUUAAAGAUCAGGGAUUUAACAGCUGUUGUGGCUUUACAAUGAGAGUCAAACAUUUCUGAUCCCAUCACCGAAUUGCUUCCAUUUCCUGAAAUGCCUACUUCACAUGAGCAGCUUGCGAGAUAGUGGGCGGGGCGUGUUCUGGGCGUGUGCGUGCUGACCCAAUCAUCUCGCGAAUCCUAGCGCAUGGGGUGAGUCGCCCCGCCCCCUUCACUCACGCUUCUGAAAGAGUCUGUCUGCAUGCUCAUGUCUCGCAGAAUCAGAGACGCGACAGAAGCCCAUAAGAAGCGUUGUUUUAUCAACUCUCCUUUUGAAAGGACCCGUGGGAUCAAAAGUAUUUUAAUCAGUCUUCCUCUUAAGUUGGACACGUAUUUGGAUAUAUCCCGCGGUAUUUGUCAGUUGUCCCAACCGAAAUGGAGGAGUUUAUUCUCUCGGAUCAGACCGUUUCAUGCGACUAGACAGUCUCCAUCUGUCCCAUCUGCACGACAGGACGGAGAACAUCACUGGACAUUUACGGAUAGAAACUGGACGACACGCCGUGAUUUGAAUGCCUUUGCAGGGACUUUGCUGGCUUGUGUGCUGCAGACAAGGCUUCAGUUUGCUGGCUCGGGAUCAUGGGGAGAAAGAGGAGGAAGAGUCUUUUGAGUUACGCAAUCAGGACGAGCACACACACACGGGACGGGGGCAACUAGAGGUCACUCUGUCUCAGCCCACUCGCACAGCCAACGGCACACCCUGUCUCUCAGGAGUUCCUGAGGAGAAGAGAAGUCUCAUCACACAGAGGAGUAAGAUGACGAUGGACGAAGACAAUGAGGUGCUUGUGAAGGGUGAGGAAGAAAUUCUUCUACUUGAUAACUUUUAUUCACCAGAUCAAGUCAUAUUUGUCAUAGCUAUAAAACUAAAUGUAUUGUUUGCAUGCAUUGGGGCAUUUGUGUGUAUUAUGUCCCUCUUGUUUUAUUCUGCUGGUUACUUGGAAUCAUUAAUCUGA